GACGAACGCUGGCGGCGUGCUUAACACAUGCAAGUCGAACGCUGAAGCUCAGCUUUUGUUGGGUGGAUGAGUGGCGAACGGGUGAGUAACACGUGAGUAACCUGCCUCCUUCUUUGGGAUAACGCCCGGAAACGGGUGCUAAUACUGGAUAUUCACUGGUCUUCGCAUGGGGGUUGGUGGAAAGGGUUUUUCUGGUGGGGGAUGGGCUCGCGGCCUAUCAGCUUGUUGGUGGGGUGAUGGCCUACCAAGGCUUUGACGGGUAGCCGGCCUGAGAGGGUGACCGGGCACAUUGGGACUGAGAUCCGGCCCAGACUCCUACGGGAGGCAGCAGUGGGGAAUAUUGCACAAUGGGCGCAAGCCUGAUGCAGCGACGCCGCGUGAGGGAUGGAGGCCUUCGGGUUGUGAACCUCUUUCGCUCAUGGUCAAGCCGCAACAAUGGUUGUGGUGAGGGUAGUGGGUAAAGAAGCGCCGGCUAACUACGUG
rnacentral:rRNA from 1 species